UAUAAAUUACCUAUUUAAAAUUUAACUUUUAAUUUUUUUUUUAUUAUGAUGCAAACUCUCAAUUAUUGUAUUACUAAAUGAAUAGCAUCCUCCUAUUCUAAAGUUUUACCAGUGACAAAUGCAGUCCAAAUAGUUUAAUGCUCCACAUGGAAAAAAAAAAUAAAAUUAUUAAUAUAAAUCACUAUAAAAUCAAAUUCUAGAAAAAAACCAAAGUUCUUUUUUCUUUAUUAUUAUUUUAAUUUUUUUUCCUUUUUUAACUUGUUUGAGUAUACGUGUACGUGUGCUGAAUUCAACUUACCCAAAAUGAGUCUAGGCAACGCAAGGUGUCUUAAUAAGAUAAAUGAAACGACACUUGUUUUUUUUCUUUUUUUAAAAAUAUAUUAGUCGCAAAUAAAAUUAAUUAAAGCUUUUAAAAUGCUACGCCACCAAAAAAAAAACUAAUUAAAUAAAAAUCAACUAUAUAUUAAUUUCUUAGUAUACUUAAUUCUUCUGUGAGAUUGAGAUUGAAAGGUUAAGAAUUUACCUGGUGGGGAUGGGAUACUCAGGGAAGAACUUGGCAAGAAUUUCC
rnacentral:misc_RNA from 1 species